CUCUGUGUUGGUUUCCUUUUUGCUCUUUAAAUAAUGGAAAUACUAAGAGGCCCUGGGAAAAGUGCAUGUUGACUUCCAUCCUUCAAAAAUACUUAAUAUAUUAAUUAACGGCUCUUGUCUCUCAACCUUGUUGGUCCAAGGUGUGUACAUUAGCAUCUACACUGAAGAUAAAGCUACCUUUAAUCUUGUGGCAGGCACAACUUUACUGACUCCAAAUAUUUGUAAACAGUCAUAUUUUCUGAUUGCCUUUUAAAGAGUAAAGUAGCAUGCAAACAAAUAUUACACAGCUUGUUAGUGCACCACUGGUGGGACUGUUUCAAGUGUAUUUAGAAAGGAAGAAACUUAUUUCUCACAAGCCUAUUUGCAGAAGAGAUCUUUGCUGAAUGCUUGACACAAAGACUUAUGAUAUCUGCUGAAAUGCAGGAAGUGAAAAGAGAUGCCGACCAUCUGAACUACAUGACAAAGCACACAGCAGGAAGGACACAGCAUGGAUCUGUGACAAUGACAGGCAGGAACAGCUCUGGAGCCUCUGACCAAGCACUGCAUGCAAAAUCUCUGUCCUGCAUCCUUCAGUGGCUAAGGUUCCCAGGAUGCUGGAAGGAAAAUCCAUGCACAGAGAGAAAACCCUGUGUGCCACCACCAUUACAACCACCUCUGCAACCUAUCAAACAGAAUAGGUUAAGAAACCCUACUUUGUAAAACAAGGAUGGUAGCAAAACCUCUAAAAUGGCACAGAGGCCACAGGGCCAAAUAAAGCUGAAGGUGAUUGGAAAACUGAGAUUGCAAUCACCAAAACUCUCUUUUUGCUGACUUUGAGACAGUUUCUUUUUCUUUCCCAUUUGUACUUGCCCACUGCUGGGAUUGCUUCCUCUCUGUGUCAGG